GGAAGUUCUCUUGAUCCUGAUCGUAAACAAAAAGAGGCAGCAGCAGCUGCUGCAGCUGCUCUUGCUGAAAAGAAUAAACAAUAUAGUUUAAUGAAAGAUAGUAGCAGUUCUCCAUCUCCAGUAAGAGAAAGAGAAAAGAUCAAAAAAAAGAAGAAAUCUAGAGAGGAAUCUGAAAGUCCUAUUCGUAUCAAAAAGAAAAAGACUUCAAAGAAACACAAGAGGGAGCGAUCACAAUCUCAUGAUCAAAAAAAAAAAAGAAAGAAAAAAAGAAAAAGUGGAAAAGAAAAGCGUAAACAUAGAAGA
rnacentral:lncRNA from 1 species